AUUGAACGCUGGCGGCAUGCCUUACACAUGCAAGUCGAACGGUAACGGGCCUUCGGGUGCCGACGAGUGGCGAACGGGUGAGUAAUGCAUCGGAACGUACCUUUCAGUGGGGGAUAACGUAGCGAAAGUUACGCUAAUACCGCAUAUUCUGUGAGCAGGAAAGCAGGGGAUCGCAAGACCUUGCGCUGAUUGAGCGGCCGAUGUCAGAUUAGCUAGUUGGUGAGGUAAAGGCUCACCAAGGCGACGAUCUGUAGCGGGUCGGAGAGGAUGAUCCGCCACACUGGAACUGAGACACGGUCCAGACUCCUACGGGAGGCAGCAGUGGGGAAUUUUUGACAAUGGGGGCAACCCUGAUCCAGCCAUGCCGCGUGAGUGAAGAAGGCCUUCGGGUUGUAAAGCUCUUUCGGCCGGGAAGAAAUCGCACGGGCUAAUACCCUGUGUGGAUGACGGUACCGGAAUAAGAAGCACCGGCUAACUACGUGCCAGCCGCCGCGGUAACAC
rnacentral:rRNA from 1 species